ensembl:lncRNA novel transcript, antisense to LNPEP and ERAP2
CUCGGUAUGCGCAUCGCCACCACCCUCGCUGCAGAGGCCGCCGCCCUCCCAGCGCGCCAUCACCGCCUCCUCUGCCUCUUCCCCUCCCUCAGCCCCGGCCCCUGCAUUGACUUGGCUCGGGCUGCGCCUCACUGCGCCUGCCAACUGUCACACGCUCUGAGGCUUUCAACAGCGGGGCGCCAGGGACAAACAAGCCGCGGCAAGCGCAAACAGCCUGCUCAAACAGGGACGGCCAGGGUGUUGUUUGACCAGCACUGGAAUUGGAAACUAGGUUUCGAAGAAGUCAAAUCGAAGUACAAUAUUGUAUUUUAAACUGCCUGUUGUUAUUACAUCCCUCACAACGCACGCUCUACUUGAAACUUCCAGUGGAUACCAACUGCACUUAGAAUAAAAAAUGAAACUCCUUGCCUAACUCUGGGACCUCAUCAGCACAUACUCACCAUAUUUUGGUAACAAAGGCCUUCAUGCUGUUCCCGGAAGUCGCCAAGUUCCAUCCAUCAUUGUUAAUAAUUCCUUUUGCUCGCUCCUCGCACAAGAACUGUUUCUUCUGCUUAGUGCUUUGCCUACUGAUUCCAUCUUGUCAUUUAAGUCUCGGCUCAAAUGUCACCUCUGCAAAGAACCCUUGUCUGACCAUACAUCUAAAAUAGCCACAAACACUCUAUAAAGACUUGGCCUUGCUUUAUUUCCUUCUCAGCACUCAUCACUGUCUGAAACAAUGUUUUGGAUUUGUUGCUUAUUAUCAGUCUCCCUUCUCAAGAAUGCAAGCUUUGUGAGGGCAGAGUCGUAAUCUUUUUUAAGGCUGUAUCCCCAAUGCCUGGAUUGCCCAACACUUGCUUCAUGCUUCAAGCACAUCAGGGUGCUUUCCACUUCUGGAUGAGCCAAGUGUUUCCUCAGCUUUUCUGCACCUUCCUCUCCAUUGACCUAGAGUGUCUAUGGAACACUCAGAGUGUCCCCUGUGUAAACCACCUACCACAAGAUUAUCAACUUCAGGCAAUGGACCACGCACCAGGAUUCCACCUCUUUCUAGCACCUAUCAGUGUUGCGCACAUCAUAGGCCCUCAACAAACAGGAAGCAGGCAGCCACGCUGGGGGAUCCCACAUGGUAAAGAACUGCAGGUGGCCUCUAGGAGAUGAGGGCGGCCUCCAGUCAACAGCCAGCAAGAAACUGAAGUGCUCUGUCCUACAACCUUGUGUAACUGAAUUCUGCCAACAACCUGAGUGAGACUGAAAGUGGAUCCCUCUCCAGUCAUGCCUCAGGUGAGACUGUAUCCCUGGAUGACACCUUGAUUCAGCCUCAUGUGACCCUAAGGAGACGACCCAUAUAAACUGUGCCUGGACUCAAGGCCCUCAGAAACUGUGAGAUAAUAAACA